rnacentral:rRNA from 1 species
UUAUUGUUCUUCUCCGAGGAAUCCCUAGUAAGCACAAGUCAUCAGCUUGUGCUGAUUACGUCCCUGCCCUUUGUACCACCGCCCGGCCCUACUACCGAUUGGAUGGCUUAGUGAGGCCUUCGGAUCCCUGGGAAAAAACUGUAACAGGUUUUCUGCCGACGAGAAGUUGGUCACACUUGGUCAUUUAGAGGAAGUAGAAGUCGCAACAGGGUUUUCGUACGCGAACCUGCUGAAGGAUCAUUACUGAUCGUUGGCGAACCUCGCCACUUCUUCUUCGUAUUUAAAACAUCCGCUCUUUAUAAAAAAAAAAAUUAUUUUAAUGAUAAAAUUAAAAAAAAAGAUCACUUUCAACAACGGAUCUCUUGGCUCUCGCAUCGAUGAAGAACGUAGCGAAGUGCGAUCAGUAAUGUGAAUUGCACAAUUCCGUGAAUCAUCGAAUUUUUGAACGCGAUUGCACUCUCCGGUUUUCCGGGAGAGUAUGCCUGUAUGAGGGUCAGCCUCAAUAAGAUCGGCUUCGUUGCUGUGUCCUUCCCGGUAGCGUUUUGUCGAAAUUGGGUUAUCUUAAACUUUUCGGUUUAAGUGGCUUCAAGACUUUUUAUACGAUUUGACGAACGUUUCGGAAACUUUCCCUCGUUCACGCUCGAGGCAACGCAGAACCUUAUUAGACGCGAGCGUCCCAUCGGAUCUCGUGCAUAGUGUUUUCUUUUUACUGACCUCAGACAGGAAGAACUACCCGCUGAGCUUGGCCAUAUCAACAAGCUGAGGCAGAGUGAAAAUAACACUGCAGUUCCUUCCGUACGGCUGAGUCGAAUGGCGGGAAAGCUUCAAUUUGAAAUCGGUCCAGGUACUACCUGCCCUGAGUCUGCAAUUGGAGCAAGCGUUUUUCACAGUGCAUGUUGGACCAAGUCCUUGGGGAUGAGCUAUCAUGUACGUUGAGA